rnacentral:lncRNA from 1 species
GGACAUUGAUCCUGAAUUCGAAUGGAAGUUGGAUCAAAUGUUCAUGGGGAUAGUUGCAACAGGUGAUAAAGCAUGGGCACCUUCUUCUAAUACACUCCGUAGUGAUUUUUUUGAGGAUGUUAACAACGAAAUACCUGAAGAGAUUGAAGAAGAAAAUAUGAGAAAUGAUGUUCACAUUUCAAAUGAUGUUCAAAUUGAUGGAAACGGUUAAAAAAGAAAAAACCCUGAGAUGUCAAGUUCACAUUUUAAAACUGGAAGAAAGAAAUCCUCAAAGCAAAUUAGAGGGGCUGCAAGAUUAUCCAGUCAAAUAGAUAAAUUAUGCAAUGCAGCUGACAAUAUGAGUCAAGCCACAUCUAGUUUGACUCCUGUUAUGGAUCCAUAUGGUAUUCCAUAAGCAGUCAAAAUGCUUGACAGCAUGUCGGAAGAAGUUCCAAAAGCUAGUUCGCCAUACUUUUUCGCACUUAGAUUAUUGCUCAAUAAGGACAAGCGAAUUAUGUUUUUAUCAAUUAAUCCCAAGAUAAGAGCUUUGUGGCUUAAGACAGAAAUAGAGGAUAGUUGAAAAUUUUCUGAUCUUCUAGGGUUCAAAGAUAUCUAUUUAUGUAUAAUCUUCUAGUUAUAAUGGCUUAAACGAAGUAUGUUUUUAUCAAUAGUUAUUUAUGUUUAAUUUUUGGAUAUUGAAUUUAUGUUCUACUUAUUUAUGUGUAAUCUAGUUUUAUUAAUAGUUGUUUAUGUUUGGUCUUUAGAUAUUGAAUUUAUGUUCUACUUAUUUUUUACUAAAUUAUUUUUAUCAAUAGUUGUUUAUAUGUGAUUUUGGAUAUAAAAUUUAUUCACAGGUGAUAAGUAUAGUUAAGGAUUAUAGCGGUGAUGAAAGUGAUGAUGAAAGGGAAAAGAAAGAGAUUUUACAACGCAUAGAAUGUUUUAAUCGAUUAUUUGUUGUUGCAUCUUCUUCCGUGUAAUUAUAUUACGAGAAGUAUAUAUUGAGGCAACCAUGCAUGGAUUCAAAACAGUCAGGUGAGACAUGGAUCCGAGAGAUCCUUGACGGUCACAAAUCACGUUGUGUGAUUAAUUUUAGGAUGUCUAAAAUGGUAUUCACAAGUUUACUUAGAGUUUUAGAGAUAAGAUACAACUUGCAAACUUCAAGAAACAUAUCUUCUAGUGAAAUGUUGGGAAUUUUUUUUAUACAUCUUGGGCACCGGUGCAAAAAGUUUCUCAAUGUCGAGAAAGAUGUCAAAGGUCUGGAUCAACAAUAAGUUGACACUUUGCAGUUGUGCUUGAGAAAGUUUCAAGGAUGGCCACUAAUCUAAUUGCACCCGAAGAUCCUUUUUUUAGCUCAAUACCCGAACAAAUACGUAAUGAUUCUAGAUAUAUGCCGCAUUUUAAGGUUAAAAUUUAAUUUUAUAUUAUUAUAUUUUAAUAUAUUUGGUCGACUAAAAAUAUGCACGAGAGUAAUAUGAUUAUUUGUUCAGGAUUGCAUAAGUGCAAUUGAUGGUACUCACAUUGCGGCUAUUCUUCCAUCAAAUGAACAAAUUCCCUAUAUUGGAAGAAAAGGUAUCCCGACUCAAAAUGUUAUGGCAAUAUGUGAUUUUAAUAUGUGUUUCACAUUUGUCAUGGCUAGAUGGGAAAGAUCGGCACAUGACAAUACAAUAUUAUUUGAUGCAAUUUGAGAUCCAAAAUACAAAUUUCCGCACCCUCCAAAUGGUUAGAUAUUUUAUUUAUAUGUGAUUUUUUAAAUAAUAAAGUAUAAGUUCUUUAAUUGAUUAUUUUUAUUAAAAAAAUUCUUGAAUUAAUUGUUUGUUAUAUUAUGACUUGUAGGAAAAUAUUAUCUUGUUGAUUCUGGAUAUCCUCAAAUGAAAGGUUAUCUUGGACCGUAUAGAGGUCAGUGAUAUCUUUUACCUGACUUCCGUAGAGGUAGAUCGAUAUCUGGUAAAGAAGAGAUAUUCAAUCAUUCACAUUCAUCAUUACGUAGCGUGAUUGAACGAACUUUUGGUGUUUUGAAAAAAAAAAUGGGCCAUUUUGAAGGAUAUACCAAGUUAUAGUUUUGAAAAGCAAACGAUGAUCGUUGUUGCUAUAAUGACGAUACACAAUUUUAUCCGAAAACAUGUCGGUCGAAAUGAUGUAGAUUUUAUGGAAUACGAAGAUAUUAACUCGGCAUAUGAGAAUAAUAUUGAUUCAGAAAAUGCGCAUGGUCGAGAAAGUAAUGAUGAUGACGACGACGACGACGAUAGUGAUGAUGACAGUGAAUCAAAUAAUUUAAGUGGUUUUGAAAUGGAAUUAACAAGAGAUGCUAUAGCUUCUAGUUUAAUGAAUUCACUUUAAAUUGUAAAUGCUAUUGUAAAAUUUUUAGUAUUUAUAUUUGAUAUAUAAAUAUUAUCCCUUUUUAAAACUUCAAUCCAAAUAUAUAUAAUAUUUUAAUUUGUUAGGUUUAUGUUUUCUAUGUUAGGUUAAUAUCUAAUAUGAGUUAUAUAUUCAAAUACAUUUUAAAAUAAAAUAAUACAAAUGUGUUAAAAGCAUUAAUUAAAAAUAAAAAAAAUAAUUUUUAUAAUAAUACAAUUGUGUCAAUAUCUAAUUACAAAUAUUUAAUUAUUAUAUUUAAAUAUUUAAAUAUAGUUUAUAUAUUGUAAUUAAAUUUAAUAAAUAAUUAAUAUUAAUUACUUAGAAAUAUUUAAAAUUAAUAUUAUAUAUUAAAAUAUUAACAAUAAGUUAUAAUAAAUUAUUUUUUAUAUUUUUGCUAAAAUAUCAUAAUAUUAACUAAUUUGAAUAUUAUUUAAAUAGAUAUUUGUUACUUUAUAAUAUCAUGUCUAAAAUGGACAUUUUAUUCUUGAAAAGUACUUUUUAAUAGUAAUACCAAACAAUCAAAAUUUUCAAAAGCACUUCUCAAAAGCACUUAUUAAAAGCACUUUUUAAUAACACUUUUAAAAGUACUUUUCAAAAGCAUUUUUUAAUAACACUUUUAAAAGUACUUUUCAAAAGUAAUGAAGAACUGGCUCUAAAAAUGUGAGAAUUUGCUAUCAAAUUAAGAGUGUUCUUCAUUACUUUUCAAAGAAAAGUACUAUUUUAGCUAAAAACUCAUCUUAGCCGCCAUGAAAAACAUAGCCUAAGAAAAAUAUACACUAAAGUGAUUCUAUUUUCUUUUCCUAUAUUCUUUUAUAAAAAAAAUUCUAUAAUAUAUAUAAAGUUGAGCUUUAUAAAAAUAGCUUUAUAAGUCAGCCACGAGAAGAGGGAUCCAUUGGUGCUCUUGGGAAGGGUUAUGCGAUUUGAAAAAGGCCGAUGGGUUAGGAUUUCAUAGCUUGUCAAAGUUGAAUAUUGCUUUACUUGCCAAAUAGGGUUGGCGUCUAUUGACUAAUCCGAAUUCUUUAAUGGCCAAAGUACUUAAAGCUAAAUAUUUUUUGCAUAACAAUUUUAUGGAGUUAGGGUUAGGGAACCAACCUUUCUUUGUGUGGCGAAGCAUUUAGGCCGCCAAGGGUCUGCUGCAGAUGGGCUGUGGUUGGCAGGUUGGUAAUGGGCAAUCGAUUUCGUAUGGGAUGAUGCUUGCCUCCUUGGUGAACGGCCCUGCAAAAUACAGAUGGAUAGGGUUACUGGGAUUGACAGGGUGGCAAAUUUGAUUAAUUAACAUAGAUAGGAGCGAAUGGAAUGUUGGCUUAUUAGGGACUGUUUUUCCUUACCCGAUUGUUAACCUUAUUCGACGUAUCCCAUUGGCAUCUCAUGAUUUGUUGGAUCGAUGGAGAUGGUUCCCAGAUAGCACUGGAGAUUAUUCUGUCCGUAGCGGAUACAUAUUGCUAUUGCGUGGUUUUUCGGGGGGAAGGUGAUCGUUACAGUGGUGUUACGCAGCAUACACAAAAUAUUUACAAACAACUAUGGGGGGCUCAAGUGCCCGAAAAAAUGAAAGUUACAUGUUGGAAAUACAUAUAUAAUUUUCUCCCUACAAAAGAUAAUUAGUUUCGCCGGAGAAUCGGGGUUGAUCGUAUGUGCCCACACUAUGGUAGUGGGCUUGAGACCAUUCUCCAUGUCUGUCGGGACUGUCCUGUGGUCCAGGAGGUUUGGCACGGCUUGGGUUUCUAUUAGCACAUAGUUCCAGAAUCUAAACCAUUCAAUGGAUUAGUCAACUAUUCGCUACUGCUACGAAGCAUAUACACCUCUCUAUUAUCACUACCUGGACUCUCUGGACUUCUAGAAACAAGCUAAUUCAUGAGGGCAUUUAUCUGCCUACUCAAUCAAUACUUAUCACUAUUCUGGGUUAUCUACAGGAGCUAGAUUCCCUCUUGUUUCCUAGAGAGGAUAUUGUGACUUGUUGGCUUGUCGCUCUGGAAGACCCUUGUAGACCCAUGGGCUCGCGUAAACUUUGACGCAGGGUUCUUCGCUGAUUUGCGGGCUACCAGCACGGAGAUAGUUAUUAGAAAUUCUAAAGGGCUGUUUUUAGGCCCAGCUUGCUUCUGGGAAGAAAACAUACCAUGUCCCUUGUCGGCAGAAGCUCUCGCAUGUGUGUGAGCCAUCAGAUUUGCCCGAGAUCUUGGCUUCUAUUGGGUUGAGAUUGAGGGUGACUCGGAGGUGCUUCUCUCCAAGCUUCAAAGUGUGGCCACUGGUCGGUCGACGGUGAGUGCUUAUGUUUAGGAUGCGAAGAGACUUGUUUUGGGCUUCGAGCGUUUCAAGUUCCAGCACAUAAAACGGGGAGGGGAAUAUAGUUGCCCAUCUUCUGGCCCAUCUUCUGGCCCAUAUUCUGGCCCAUAAGGGUUUUCUUCGACGACGGGAUGUUAUAUGGAUGGAGGACGGAUCGGAGUCUGUUCUGGGGUGGGUGUUAAAGAGAUCGUUGGGAAGGUGCCUGAUUUUGAUGGGGGGUCUUCCUCGAGUUGUGUUUCGGCCAAAUCUGUUAUUUACUUUGCAGGCUUUAUUGUGGCUUCAUCGUGGAUCGAAGAUUGUGGGCUGUUUCUGACUGUGGUUUGGCCCUACCGGACAUGCGUGCGCAACUAGGGUUGUUGAAGGGUUUCAACUGCUUGUUUUCUACCUUUCUUUUCUUUGGUUCCUUUUUUAUUUGGCUUUUGUUUAAUUUUUUACCCGUUGGGUUGUUUUGCUUCGUGGGAUGUUUGUUUGUUUGUUUCCAAGUCUUUUCAAUAAUAGUAUGACCGGAUCUUAUUAAAAUGUGGAUAUUAUCUUAUUAAAUGAAAUCCUUUUAAAAAU